AUACGUGUGACGUACUUGACGUUACGCCAAUAUACUUCCGUUUUUUACAAAGCCCUCUCUACAAAUUCGUUUCGUUGGUAAAUAACGUUCAAAUGUUGUUUAGCAGUGCCGUGUUACAAUACGUCUGACUGAAUGUGCAAGAAGACGCUUUAACAUACAAACGAACUGGCAUGUGCGCAUGCGCAAUAAGGACAACAUUGCGCGUGUGUGCCGCGACUAGGCUCGUGCAGCAGAAAAAGAACGCGAGACUCAAUGGCGAUUGGAACGCGCCGAGCAAGAGGCUUGAACCGAGUAUUUGAGAAACAAGGCUCGAGCUGCCUCCAGCAGACAGGGGAAUGGAGGGAGGAUGUAGAGACAGCAGAGAUGAGCCGAGCAACCAGAGAGAUAGAACACCUAAAUAUUUUUCCUUUAGAAGACUCUGCUGAAAAGAAAGGAAAUGCAGAAUACCUCAAAGAGAAGAAGAGAAUGUGUGAUGCAGACUGUCUUUACCUAAAGUCUUCAAAUGCUUAAUUAAGGGGAUAGUUCACCCAAAAAUGAAAAUUCUCUCAUGAUUUACUCACCCUCAUGCCAUCACAGAUGUGCAUGACUUUUUUUCUUCUGCAGAACUCAAAGAUUUUUAGAAGAAUAUCUCCGCUCUGUAGGUCCAUG